rnacentral:rRNA from 1 species
CCUACGGGAGGCUGCAGUGAGGAAUAUUGGUCAAUGGGCGUAAGCCUGAACCAGCCAAGUCGCGUGAAUGACGAAGGCCUUCGGGUCGUAAAGUUCUUUCGAUAGGGAAGAAAAUGCCUAUAAGUAACUGUGUAUGUAUUGACGGUAUCUGUAUAAGAAGCCUCGGCUAACUCCGUGCCAGCAGCCGCGGUAAUACGGAGGGGGCGAGCGUUGUUCGGAGUGACUGGGCGUAAAGAGCACGUAGGCGGUGUUGUAAGUCAUUAGUCAAAGACUAGAGAUCAAAUUUAGUAAGGCUAGUGAUACUAUAAUACUAGAGUAUCAGAGAGGAUUGCAGAAUUCCUGGUGUAGCGGUGAAAUGCGUAGAUAUCAGGAGGAAUACCGUUAGCGAAGGCGGCAAUCUGGCUGGAAACUGACGCUGAGGUGCGAAAGCGUGGGUAGCAAACAGGAUUAGAUACCCUGGUAGUC